AACGAACGCUGGCGGCAUGCCUAACACAUGCAAGUCGAACGAGACCUUCGUGUCUAGUUGCGCUCGUGUGCGUAACGCGUGGGAACCUUCCCUUAGGUUCCGAAUAACUCCCCGUAGGGGGUGCUAAUACCGGAUAAUCUCUUCUGACCAAAGAUUUAUCGCCUUUGGAUGGGCCCGCGUUCGAUUAGCUAGUGGGUAGGGUAAAAGCCUACCAAGGCGAGGAUCCAUAGCUGGUCUGAGAGGAUGAGCAGCCACACUGGGACUGAGACACGGCCCAGAAUCAUAGGGGAGGGAGGAGAGGGGAAUAUUGGACAAGGGGGGAAAGGAUGAUAACGCAAGGUCGGGGAAGUGAUGAAGGCCUUAGGGAUGUGCAGCUGUUAUACACGGGAUGAUAAUGACAGUACCGGGAGAAUAAGCACCGGCUAACUACGUG
rnacentral:rRNA from 1 species